GACGAACGCUGGCGGCGUGCUUAACACAUGCAAGUCGAACGGAAAGGCCCUGCUUUUGUGGGGUGCUCGAGUGGCGAACGGGUGAGUAACACGUGAGUAACCUGCCCUUGACUUUGGGGUAACUUCAGGAAACUGGGGCUAAUACCGGAUAGGAGCUCCUGCUGCAUGGUGGGGGUUGGAAAGUUUCGGCGGUUGGGGAUGGACUCGCGGCUUAUCAGCUUGUUGGUGGGGUAGUGGCUUACCAAGGCUUUGACGGGUAGCCGGCCUGAGAGGGUGACCGGCCACACUGGGACUGAGAUACGGCCCAGACUCCUACGGGAGGCAGCAGUGGGGAAUAUUGCACAAUGGGCGGAAGCCUGAUGCAGCAACUCCGCGUGCGGGAUGACGGCCUUCGGGUUGUAAACCGCUUUCGCCUGUGACGAAGCGUGAGUGACGGUAAUGGGUAAAGAAGCACCGGCUAACUACGUG
rnacentral:rRNA from 1 species